rnacentral:lncRNA from 1 species
CUUGAGAAUUCUGCAAGGUUCAGCUCCAUCCAGUGGGAUUGCGUUGCUUCGUGAACCAUUGAGCUCCUAUCUGAGGAGUCUGGUUUCAUGACCUAAACUCAAUAUCCAUGAGUAUGUUGUGGAAAAGGAUGUGCUAACCCUAGACCCACCAGAUGACUAAGAGCUGGAGGCCUUGCUGCAUUAUACACAACAAUCCUGGGUGAACUUUGGGGGAAAUGGCUGUGAGUGUGGUCUACACUUGAGGCUCUGACCUCACCCACGAUGCUCUGAAAGGGUUCAUGUGGCCUGACAGGGCCAGCCGAAACCAGUUCCCUUUUGCUACUGAGGAUGC